UGUUUUAACAUAGUUUAACUCUAACUUUUUUGUUUUUUUGUUUUUGGUCAGAGUGAGAGAGAGGGGCGAGGCUAAGGGGUAGGGAAGCGGGUGAGAACUGGGAGGGUGUGGAAGUGGCUUGGGGAAAGUUGGGUUUAUUUUUUAAUUUUAUUUGGUUGUAUAACUUUUAAUUUUUAAAUUAUUUAAAGGUAAAAUAUUUUUAUUUGUUUUUUAAUGACCAUAUGUAAGAAAUUAGCAUAAUACCCCUGCCACGUCAUCAGAGCUAACAGAGUUAGGAAGGAGAUGACGGUAUGGAGUAAAUUGGAACAUCAAACUUUGGUCAAGGGGGCAAAGUGGGUCACUU
rnacentral:lncRNA from 1 species